rnacentral:lncRNA from 1 species
GUUGAUUUACCCUGCCUUGGCCCAAGUCCCUUAGGACCGAAAUUAGGCAAUAAUGCCUACCCAAGCCUAUGGCCGAAUGCACUUACAAGUGGCUAACUAUUCAAUGGUUCAAAAGUUUUUCCCCCCACUUCAUUUGGCUCUAUUUGUAGACUCCCUACAAUGGCCUACAAUGGCUUCCAUUCGGCUGGCUGUUUGCAUGCUAUGGCAACUCCUUGGGAACUUC